rnacentral:rRNA from 1 species
AGGACGAACGCUGGCGGCGUGCUUAACACAUGCAAGUGGAGCGACGAACCAGGCUUCGGCCUGGGGCAGAGCCGCGAACGGGUGAGUAACACGUGGGUAACCUGCCCCGAUGACUGGGACAACCCGGGGAAACCCGGGCUAAUACCGGAUGUGCUGCACUCGCAUCAGCGAGUGUAGGAAAGGAGCUUCGGCCUCCGCAUCGGGAUGGGCCCGCGGCCCAUUAGCUUGUUGGUGAGGUAACGGCUCACCAAGGCUUCGAUGGGUAGC